GAGACGGCUUACCUAUUAAUUCUUCAAAAGGCAUGCGGAACUACGAACACGUUCAGACCCACACAUAUAGAGCUUCUUUCACCCGAAGCGCGCUAACCAAUAAACCCAAGGAUGGUGUCAAUAUUUGUAUUUCAUCAAUUUUUAUUCACUAAAAAAAGAAACAAUAUCCUUAUUCCUCUUUCGGAAUUCACUAGAUAAAGGUUUCAUGGCACUGAGCAACUUAAAUAAAAUAAACAUUUAUUUAAGGAAGAUUUUUGUACAAAGAGGAGACCGGGGUCAUUUGGUAUAUUGGGUAAGACACUCGUUUGGCUAUUAUUUCGAGCCAAAUGAAAUUAUAUAUUUUUCAAAAUAGCCAAAGUGUGCAUUCCUAUUCGUAGAUUGCCUCGACCAAAAUUUUCUCCGUCUGCACAUCAUCCUAAAAGUUUUAAUAGUCAAAAAAAUAAUUCAUUUCUCCCGAGUAAUUUUGUUUUUGCAAAUUAUUUUUCUUUUUUCUAACAGAAUAUGAAGAAGAUAUUCAUAUUUUUAUGUUUUCUAAGAAAGCUUAUGCCUUAAGCUAUAGUUUCGUGUAUUUGCAUUUCUGGUUAUUAGUUUUCAUUUCAUUAUAUUUUAAUAUUUCGAUAAAAAUUACUCUUGGGGUAGUUUGGCCAAUAUUUUUUGGGGGUAAGUUUUCCCAUUUACUUAAUAUUGUCUACUAGCUGCGGUAAGUUGGCCCAUUAUUUUCGUCAGCUUCUACUUUUCUCUUGACGGUCAACUUUCCCCUAGUAGUGAUGGCGAUUGUCCCUAAAAGUGAAGUGAUGAAUCCCUCAUUAUCACUAUUUAUGAGUAAUUUUAUAGUAUAUUUUCGAAGCCACAUUUGAGCUAAGAUAAUAAGCUUUCAUUAUUUUAAAAUAUUUCACCAUUCUGGUAAAAAUUACGGAAUGCAGGACCAGGUGUGUAAAAAGUGAGCCAACUAACUCCGGUCUCCACUAUCAUUCAAUUUCCCAUUAGUUUUAUAACAUAGAUAUUUUAUCUUUAAGACACUCUAAAACCAAAUAUGAGAUUUAAACCUCUUUUGUACACAAAAAUAGAGUUAAAAGAGAAUUUUAUUAAAGAUUGAAAUAUUAAAAAGAUUUCCUUAUCCAAAGA